CCUGGAUUUGCUACUUAAUAAUGCAGCAAACAAUUUUGAACAUGGACUGUGCCAAGCAGGUGUGUAUGUUUCCUGGGCUUUUGUUGUGUAGAAGAGGGAUUGUAAGUGAAGAAGAAAGAAGAGCAGAUGAGAACAAAGGAAAUGGAGAGACACACUAACAAAGCUACAUUUGAAAAGAGCAUAUGGUGUUCUGAGAACAGAAAUGAAGUUUGGAAGAAUAUGUGCCCAAUGGCUAACAGUGUUUACCUCUGAGUGGGG